rnacentral:rRNA from 1 species
AUACCGGAUAAGCCCUUACGGGGAAAGAUUUAUCGCCGAAAGAUCGGCCCGCGUCUGAUUAGCUAGUUGGUGAGGUAAUGGCUCACCAAGGCGACGAUCAGUAGCUGGUCUGAGAGGAUGAUCAGCCACAUUGGGACUGAGACACGGCCCAAACUCCUACGGGAGGCAGCAGUGGGGAAUAUUGGACAAUGGGCGCAAGCCUGAUCCAGCCAUGCCGCGUGAGUGAUGAAGGCCCUAGGGUUGUAAAGCUCUUUUGUGCGGGAAGAUAAUGACGGUACCGCAAGAAUAAGCCCCGGCUAACUUCGUGCCAGCAGCCGCGGUAAUACGAAGGGGGCUAGCGUUGCUCGGAAUCACUGGGCGUAAAGGGUGCGUAGGCGGGUCUUUAAGUCAGGGGUGAAAUCCUGGAGCUCAACUCCAGAACUGCCUUUGAUACUGAAGAUCUUGAGUUCGGGAGAGGUGAGUGGAACUGCGAGUG